rnacentral:tRNA from 1 species
GGGCGAUUAGCUCAGUUGGUUAGAGCACUGCGCUUACAUCGCAGGGGUCACAGGUUCGAGUCCUGUAUCGCCCACCA